rnacentral:rRNA from 1 species
GACGAACGCUGGCGGCGUGCCUAAUACAUGCAAGUAGAACGCUGAAGAGAGGAGCUUGCUCUUCUUGGAUGAGUUGCGAACGGGUGAGUAACGCGUAGGUAACCUGCCUGGUAGCGGGGGAUAACUAUUGGAAACGAUAGCUAAUACCGCAUAAAAUGGAUUAUCGCAUGAUAAUCCAUUGAAAGGUGCAAAUGCAUCACUACCAGAUGGACCUGCGUUGUAUUAGCUAGUUGGUGGGGUAACGGCUCACCAAGGCGACGAUACAUAGCCGACCUGAGAGGGUGAUCGGCCACACUGGGACUGAGACACGGCCCAGACUCCUACGGGAGGCAGCAGUAGGGAAUCUUCGGCAAUGGACGGAAGUCUGACCGAGCAACGCCGCGGGAGUGAAGAAGGUUUUCGGAUCGUAAAGCUCUGUUGUAAGAGAAGAACGAGUGUGAGAGUGGAAAGUUCACACUGUGACGGUAUCUGACCAGAAAGGGACGGCUAACUACGUG